rnacentral:rRNA from 1 species
UACGUAGGGUGCGAGCGUUAAUCGGAAUUACUGGGCGUAAAGCGUGCGCAGGCGGUUCGUUAAGUCAGAUGUGAAAGCCCCGGGCUCAACCUGGGAACUGCAUUUGAAACUGGCGGGCUUGAGUGUGGCAGAGGGGGGUGGAAUUCCACGUGUAGCAGUGAAAUGCGUAGAGAUGUGGAGGAACACCGAUGGCGAAGGCAGCCCCCUGGGCUAACACUGACGCUCAGGCACGAAAGCGUGGGGAGCAAACAGG